rnacentral:rRNA from 1 species
GACGAACUUUGGCGGCGUGCUUAACACAUGCAAGUCGAACGGAAAGGCCCUGCUUUUGUGGGGUGCUCGAGUGGCGAACGGGUGAGUAACACGUGAGUAACCUGCCCUUGACUUUGGGAUAACUUCAGGAAACUGGGGCUAAUACCGGAUAGGAGCUCCUGCUGCAUGGUGGGGGUUGGAAAGUUUCGGCGGUUGGGGAUGGACUCGCGGCUUAUCAGCUUGUUGGUGGGGUAGUGGCUUACCAAGGCUUUGACGGGUAGCCGGCCUGAGAGGGUGACCGGCCACAUUGGGACUGAGAUACGGCCCAGACUCCUACGGGAGGCAGCAGUGGGGAAUAUUGCACAAUGGGCGGAAGCCUGAUGCUGCAACGCCGCGUGCGGGAUGACGGCCUUCGGGUUGUAAACCGCUUUCGCCUGUGACGAAGCGUGAGUGACGGUAAUGGGUAAAGAAGCACCGGCUAACUACGUGCCAGCAGCCGCGGUGAUACGUAGGGUGCGAGCGUUGUCCGGAUUUAUUGGGCGUAAAGGGCUCGUAGGUGGUUGAUCGCGUCGGAAGUGUAAUCUUGGGGCUUAACCCUGAGCGUGCUUUCGAUACGGGUUGACUUGAGGAAGGUAGGGGAGAAUGGAAUUCCUGGUGGAGCGGUGGAAUGCGCAGAUAUCAGGAGGAACACCAGUGGCGAAGGCGGUUCUCUGGGCCUUUCCUGACGCUGAGGAGCGAAGGCGUGGGGAGCGAACAGGCUUAGAUACCCUGGUAGUCCACGCUGUAAACGGUGGGUACUAGGUGUGGGGUCCAUUCCACGGGUUCCGUGCCGUAGCUAACGCUUUAAGUACCCCGCCUGGGGAGUACGGCCGCAAGGCUAAAACUCAAAGGAAUUGACGGGGCCCCGCACAAGCGGCGGAGCAUGCGGAUUAAUUCGAUGCAACGCGUAGAACCUUACCUGGGUUUGACAUGGAUCGGGAGUGCUCAGAGAUGGGUGUGCCUCUUUUGGGGUCGGUUCACAGGUGGUGCAUGCCUGUCGUCAGCUCGUGUCGUGAGAUGUUGGGUUAAGUCCCGCAACGAGCGCAACCCUUGUUCACUGUUGCCAGCACGUUAUGGUGGGGACUCAGUGGAGACCGCCGGGGUCAACUCGGAGGAAGGUGGGGAUGACGUCAAGUCAUCAUGCCCCUUAUGUCCAGGGCUUCACGCAUGCUACAAUGGCUGGUACAGAGAGUGGCGAGCCUGUGAGGGUGAGCGAAUCUCGGAAAGCCGGUCUCAGUUCGGAUUGGGGUCUGCAACUCGACCUCAUGAAGUCGGAGUCGCUAGUAAUCGCAAAUCAGCAACGCUGCGGUGAAUACGUUCCCGGGGC